CCGAGCUAUGAUACUUGAGCUCGACUCGAGCUUGUGUUCAAUUUAAAUGAGGCUACAUACAUCUGAUCCGAAAAGCCGAAUUGGUUAAGAAACGAUUGAACCGGAGCUGAGAUCGAUUAUCAAAAGCUUUCCCCUUUAGUUUCUUCCCCUUGCUAAAAACAUUUUGAUAUGAGAAUAUCAAUUACCUGUGAUUUCAAUUCAUUUCGCGUCGGAAUGGAAUUUAGGGUAAGAAGGCAGUUCCCCCGGAUGAGCAUCAGGUGGCAAUGCCAUCCGUUCAAUCAGUGCUGCCUCUUGUCCUUUUCCGAUUUUAACCUUUUGUACGGUCCAAUGUAUAUUCAGGUGUUAGUCAUUCCUGGGAGCUGACGAUCUGUUUUAUUCGAAUUUCUGCAGAUGUAUUCUGGUGGAUGAGAAUGAUCGUGUUGUUGGUCACGAUACCAAGUACAAUUGUAAGUACUUUUGCUUGCUAAUACCUUCUCGUUGCGAGAUUUCAAUGUGAUAAAUUUUUUUAUGUUUAGAAAUUAAUAUUCUGUUUUGAUAGUUUAGGACUUGAAGUUUUAUGACUUCGUGCCAUGACUUAUGAUGUAAUACUUGAUAAACCGCUCUAGGAAUUCUGAGGGAAGAAUUUUUGUCUCCUAUUUUACUUCAUUGCAAUUUGCAAAGAAAAUCCAUAUUAAAGGAUUAUAUUUCCUUGGAGCUUGAAUGUACUUGGUAAUAAUGCCCGAUCAUGCAUGUUGAUACAACUCUUGUGUUCUUUCUUGUACAACUGUUAGUUUCUGAAGUUUUCAUGCAUUCUGUGAACUGCAGGUCACUUGAUGGAAAAGAUCGAAUCUGAAAAUUUGCUUCACAGAGCUUUCAGUGUCUUUUUGUUUAACUCAAAGCAUGAGUUGCUUCUUCAGGUAUUUUUCUUGGAUCACGCUAACUGAAAUUUACGGUGCUGGCAGCGUUCAGUUUAGAGUGGUCAUUCAUAAGAUGUUCCAUAGUAGCAGGGUGCAUCCUGAGAAUCUCGAGUAAUAAUAAUAGAAUAUGAAGAGGGAACGACUGUCUUUGCAAUUGGCGGCAAUGAUCUUUCAAUUGAUCUUUCUGGACAGUUUUUCUUUAUGAGCGUCGUUAAAUAAUAGUGUUUAGCAUACUCAUUUAUGUCUGUCUUUCUAUGCAGCAACGUUCUGCAACCAAGGUAACAUUCCCACUUGUGUGGACAAACACCUGUUGCAGUCAUCCACUAUACCGUGAAUCUGAGCUUAUUGAUGAGAACUCUCUUGGUAUAUUUUUCUAUUUAUCAUGCCUUUGAGAGUCAAUUUUACUUGGCCUACUGUGACUUGCUCUAAUAGUUUUUUUCCUUCUCCAUUUUGUUUCCAGGGGUACGAAAUGCUGCUCAAAGGAAGCUUUUGGAUGAACUCGGUAUUCCUGCUGAAGAUGUGCCUGUUGAUCAGUUUAUCCCGUUGGGUCGCAUGCUGUACAAGGCACCUUCUGAUGGCAAGUGGGGAGAACAUGAACGUAAUAUUCCAACUUGGGUUACUCUACAUUUUUUACGAUUAACGUUCUUUGCAGUUGAUUACCUUCUCUUCACUGUCCGAGAUGCAUUUGUCAGACUGGUCGUGAUGGUCAAACAAAUUGUCUUGUUUCAGAAUUUUCUGUUCACCCUGUGUGUGUGUUUUGUUGUAUUUGCAGUUGAUUACCUCCUCUUCACUGUCCGAGAUGUUAAUGUGCAUCCGAACCCUGAUGAGGUAGCUGAUAUCAAGUACGUAAACCAGGAGGAGCUGAAGGAGCUGUUGAGAAAGGCAGAUGCCGGGGAGGAAGGUCUGAAGCUGUCACCUUGGUUCAGACUCGUCGUGGACAACUUCUUGUUCAAGUGGUGGGACCAUGUUGAGAAAAACACCAUCAAGGAAGCUGCUGACAUGAAAACCAUCCACAGGUUGACUUAAACUGAGUCUUCUGGGAAACCUUGAUU
rnacentral:lncRNA from 1 species